rnacentral:rRNA from 1 species
UCUGACGCCCAUGGCGCGCCGGCCCCACGCCUUCCCAUCCCGAACAGGACCGUGAAACGGCGCCGCGCCGAUGAUACUGGAGCUCCGCCUCCGGGAACGUAGGUCAGCGUCAGAC